AAUUCUACAUGUUUUCAUUUAUGAGCCUCUUAAAUUUACUAUUCCCAGCAGCUUUCUUCUACCGCUUAUCAAUAUAUAGUGGAUAAGCCUGUGUCGUCUAACAACAGCAUUCAAUAGCUGCUAUAAAUUAGCGCUGCUCAAGUACACUUUCGCAACACAGCCUAAUUGAUCAUAACGAAAAUACCAAUCAAAAUAAAUUAUGCAUCUUACUUAACAAGUAAAUAAAAGCCCACGCAGGUGAAAAUGUAGUUAUCAACAAAUGCAUGACGGAGAGAAAAAUAUAUGUGAAGCAGAUAAAUGGGAGUAAAAAUGAAAUGUGGGGUCACAAAUGAUAAUUAGCAAAGUGUGAGCGAGUAAACGCGUUGUUUUCUACAAAAACCACGUUGCCCCCCGUGACAAAACAAUUUGCACAAACCAUCACACGUACGCCAAGUAGGAUUUCAUCAACAAACACCAGCACAGUAUGAUGUCAAUGUCCAAUAUUCCGAAUUUGUGGGUUUUCACUUGACAUACGUACACGUAUAUUGCUAGUUGGUACAUUUUCAAUAAUUACAGCUG